rnacentral:lncRNA from 7 species
AGUAGGGGAUGGAGGCGAAAGGAGCGGGGCGCAGGGGACUCUGCCUUGCUGUGCUCUGUGCGGGCAUCGCACUUGCCCUCAAAGGAGAGGGUCUGGGGGACCACAACAUCACCCAGCACAGUGAUAUCUUGGAGGCGACGGGAGCCCCCACCACAGCCACCAGGGAUGUGACAAUGGGACCAGUGAGCUCCCCCAGCCCCUCUGGUACUGGGAACCCCAUCACCAUCACUGUGCCACUGCAAGCAGGUGCCCCAGGGAACCAAACCCGAAAUGAAUCGGGUUUUCCCAUCAGGUACUGGUCCCCCGUCAUUUUCGUGGUCCUUGCUCUGCUCGUGCUCUUCUUCACCUACCGCAGGACCAAAGGCAAUGGUGAGCUGCUGUGCUGGGGCACCGGCACCACCGAGGCUCCAACAGGAAAGGGUGCUGGCAACCUCAAGCACCCAAGAGCACCACAAAAUACUGCAAAGCUUCACCACUCCUGGCAUGGCUGUACCUGCUCAGUUUGGCACCUUUUGGGCCACCCUGUGCCACCUUUGGCCUCAGCACAGAGCCAAGCAAACCCCAAACUUUCCCAGCUCAUCCCAGGAGGAGCUGCCUGGUUUCUCAGGUUUUUUUUUUCAGCCUCCUUAUUGUAACACGUGUCUGCCCUCUCCCACAGGGACACAAGAGCCAACCACCUCCAUCAGUGACUUUUCAGAUGUGGCCACCGCAGAAAACGACACAGCUCUGACUGUCCCUGAUGCCCAGAAGAGUGCAGACAAUCCUCCACCCCAGGAGCUGAGCAAGACCACCUCCUGCCAGCCAGCCCCCCCCUCAGAACAGUCUUCCCAGCAGCCCACAGACCCCAUCACUGGAGGCAGUCCCCUCUGCUCUGGGGUUCCAGUUGAUGACUGAGGGUGAAGCAGGGGAGCCAGCAGCUUUUGGACACCCUGAAGGAGCACGAGGCCACUCCAGAAAGACAAGCUGUGCCAACACACACCUGGGCAGGGGACAUCAUAAUGGAUGCUGAAGGACGUGAGCAUCACACACCACCUCAGACCUGCCUAUGGAUGCUCUGGUGCAUGGCCACCUCCCUGCAAAAUGGGGACCUGCGUGGGACACGUGUGCAUUUACUGCACCCAAGGAGAGGGCUUGGGGGGGAGUCACAACAGAGCCAAUAAAGCAGCCUUUUGCCC